GGCAGCUCUAGAGGAUGCCUGGGUCGCAUCAAGCAGAGGAUUCAGUAGGUCUAGAAAGCCACGCGGGUGGUCAGUAUGCCUCACUCGUGUCCCCAGGAGAGUGCCCUGCCUUCAGCGUAGGGUCUCCUUACCCUUCAAGCAAUUCGGAUUAAGGAAAUGGUCUGCCUUUACUAAUUCAGUAUGUGUGUUUGAGGGCUUCCUAUGUACAAAAGGGCAUUGUCUAAAUGUGCAAGACCAUAAAUCUAGUCACUGUAGACUUAAAGCUCAGAGAGUGUUAGAGGAAGGAGAGGAGACCAGACUCAAAGGAGACAACAAGGUGAAAGGUGAGGAGGCUGUUUGCUGGGAGGAGGACUAAGGAGAAGCCAGGGGCAGGGGCUUCCCAUCCCCCAGCACAGCCUCUUUCCCCGCUGACUGGGCGCUUGGACCCCCUGACUGUCAUGCCCUUAUGCAACUCCUCCCUGCAAAGUCCACACACUGCUGUCACUAGUGGGCUUUGGACACAGGCUUUUCAGUGAGGUGAAGGGAAGCAGCGAGGGAAUUACCCUGGGCAACGCUUCUUCUGAGGGAAGCAAAUUUGAGAUUUUCUGCAUAACUUGUCAUUAGCAACACCAGACAUGCACAAAAAGGAGAAAGCAAAGAACACUGGCCACUGACCGUGCUGUACUCCCGCCUCAGGAGACACUUGUCUGGCCCCAGUGUCUCCUUCCUUCCCUUCCUUCCUGCCUUUCCUCAUUAUUUCCUGACUAACUACUCACAGAGGAGAAUCAGCCAGAGUCCCACUAAUAGGAUGCCUACAAUCAGAGGUAAGAAAGUUAAGAAGGGGAAAGAACUGAGGCCUGAGACAGAUCAUGCCCAACUAAGGAAUCCAGGAAGGCUUCCUGGAGGAGCUAGCAUUUUGUUGUGAGGGCUGAAGCACACAUAGGAUUUGGGCAUGUAGAGAUGGGUGGGUGGGGGAGACAGGUCACACAAGCAGAGGAGAGCGCAAGGCAAGGAACAGAGCUGGAGAAGCCCAGAACACAAGAAGAAAGUGGUGAUCAGGGAGAUUUCGGACCAUUCUGAGGUUGGUCUCAGGGUUCAAACCAGGGACUCAAGGGAAAGCAAAGUUUGCACUGUCCUAGGAUGCUCAGAGAAACGUUCUGACCCACUUGUUUACCUGUUUUUCUCUUUCCCCUCACUUGAGCACAUCUUUCUCUGUUGGAGACUCAUUUAUAAUUCAGGCAACCUCCUUCAGAGGGAGCAGGUGUUUCUCUGGGAUGAAGCACCUUGGGAAGCAGAAUGUACAAGUGGAAAAAAGGCGUGUCACAGCAGAGCUGGGCAGAGAGAAAAUUGGGUCGCAGCAAGGGCAGAGGAGGAGGAGGCUUGUUGGUAUGCGGUGACAAGGCAGCAAAAGAGGAAAUCAUUCCCUUCCUAUACCUGCUUCUGAAAAUCUGGAUUGACUUUACCCUCCUUCAGCCCCACUAUCCAUGAUCUCAUCACUAGACUGCCUUUCUUUGAGUCUCAACACCCCCUUCCUCCUCCAAGAUGUCCCUUUAAAAAUGCUCACAUCCUUAUGAAGGACUGUCUACCCUGAGUUCCUCAGACAGCAGAGCCUGAGGUAAAUAAGCUUAAGUAUCUGCUUUAUUAGGGUGUGCAACCCCAAGGAGCAGAAGUAAGGGAAAGGGGAGUGAGGCGGAGGGAGAUCCAAUAGAAGGGCAUAUUUUCAAGCUGGCCGCAACUUGUAUAAAAACCACAAGUGCCGCUUUCACGAGACCAUCUUCUGAGAGGCCUUAUAACAACCAUAUACAACAUUCCUUCUCGGUCAGGAGAGGAAGGAAGAAGAAUGCAUCUGCAAGCUCCCAUCUCCUAUGGAGGCAUUUGGCCCAUGGGCAUAAGUUCCUCUGCUCUUUCACAUUGCACAUGCGUGAGCACCAGGCAGGCCACGAGGCACUUUAUGUGUCAGGGUCAACAGGUAAGCCCCAUCCCCAUGACGGUGGUGAAUGGCGUGGCCUUGAGGUGAAGCACUGUGGUGGCUGGGCCUGGGUGAGGGUUAUUGGGACCCACACAGAACUGGUCUGCAGUGGAGACUGGGGCUGAAACAAGUGGCCUUUGGAGAGGCCAGAGAGAUUCUGGAGAUGCCCAUGUGGUAUCUGGUUCAGGGACGGUCCUUCAUCUUAUUAUUAGCAGCUGUCGCCUGGGUUACCAGUUAGCUCUUUAGCAGGUGCAUGCCUGCUGGUGACCACUGAGGACGGGAGCCAGACACGGCUUGGACGUGUCACGGGGUGGAGGUGCCGGGGACAGGGUGGGCAUCAGGCAAGCUCACUUCCCCACCCUCGGUCCUAGGUUAGCGUGUGGCUGUGAUGCGAAUCACCCUGAAAGCCCAUUUGGGCCGCUCACCUCUGGCUGGGAGGCAGGCCCCCAGAGGGCCCCGGCAAGCAAAUGCAACCCCACUCGAAGACAAGACAUGAAAGGGACUCCUGAGGACCCAGCGUUAUUGACGGCCUACUCAAAUCAGAGGAAAUCAAUAGCUCCCUAGAAAGGGCUUUGGGGAAGAAACAAGUGCCAAUGAAGAAAAAGGAAAAACAAAUACUUGCUCUCCGUGAGUGAGGGUGAGAGGAUGAGUCAGGAUUUCCCCCAGAUUGACAGUGUUUCUAUAAACUUUUGACUGACACCUGCCAAGAAGGAGGGUCUGUGUGUAAGAUGCUCUUCUGAUGCUGGCACAGCUGAGCUUGACAUUGACAGACAAGCCCCGCCUCCUUUCCCACAACCCAUUGCUGUGGGCCUCCUUUAACUGAAAGGUUACGCGAGAUACCGAGUGCUGCCUUCCCCCUCAUCCCCAAUUCACAUAUUGAAGUCCUAACCCCCAGUACCUAAGAAUGUGACUGGAUUUGGAGAUAAAACCUUUAAAGAGACAGGUACAGAGAAAAGACCAUGUGAAGAUAUAGGGAGAAGAUAGCCAUCUACAAGCCAACGAGAGAGGCUUCGGGAGAAACCAACACUGCUGACACAUUGAUCUUGGACUUAUAGCCUCUAGAACUAUUACAAAAGCAAGGUUCAGAGAACCCCAAGAUCACUUGGAACCCUCAAGAGGAAUUUCAGGAAAUUGUACCAAAUAUGAACCCUAAGUAAAUGUUUCCUCUUAAAAUGGAUCAUUUCCACCGAGGAGAUCAUUUCCUACCACGUAGCAGCAAAGUUUGAAAUAACAGAUUAUACUAUUUCUGGACAGCAGUAACAUGAACAGCAAAGGACUUCCAAGAGAUACCUGAAUAAGUGGAACUCUAAGUGCCAGUUCCAGAGAUCAAAGGAAGACUCAACUAUGCAGGCCAGCCCUGCUCUAUGCCAAAAGGUGGGAAAGUUCAAGGGAUAGAAGAUGAAAAGGCAUCCUGUGAGCAAAGUCCUUCUGCCCGGGAGAGGCGUGAACCUUUAUCCAGGUGCCAGCCAUUUCAUCCCACUGAAGAUGGGAGGUUGAUGUCAUUUCAUUCGCAGGAUGAGGAAAGGAGUCUUGAAAUGGAAUUCUCGUCACUCUGAGGCUGCGAAUGAACUCUGCCAUCCACAGCCAGCUACCUGCAUGCCCUGGAGGCCGGCGUAGCACUAUGACCGGAUCCUUCUCACUGCAGGUGCAAGGGCUCACCAAGGGUUGAUGAGAAGAAAGAAAGAAUCCUGCAUGUUUUAGGCCUUUAUCAUUGGACACUUAAGUACAGUUCAAUGUUUCUUGAGAGAGAUAAGAGCCAGAAAGUUCCAGCAGGAAGCAGGUCUCCGUUAGAAGAGUGGGCUAAUCUUGCUUGACCUUGACUUCCCAGAAUGAGACCCUCUGAACAGCUUUGAAACAGCUUCUAGGAUGGCAAUGACCAGGCUCCUGUGUCGAAACAACUCCUCGCGCUGCGACUGCCCAGAGAACCAAGCAAGUGGAGCAGGUCUGGCGUCACAGAAGCUUCAGCCAACUGGAGAAAGAGCAUCUGAAGCAAGUCAGAGUUCUUUCAGAUGUGCUGUGAUCGAGAAGAAAAAGAUUGAUAUGCAAGGAUCCAACAAUUAUAGCACUCUCUGAAGAAAAUAGUUUCAAAAAGACUCUGACCGGGCUUCCCUGGUGGUGCAGUAGUUGAGAGUCUGCCUGCCGAUGCAGGGGACAUGGGUUCGUGCCCUGGUCCGGGAAGAUCCCACAUGCCGCGGAGCGGCUGGGCCCGUGAGCCAUGGCUGCUGAGCCUGCGCGUCCGGAGCCUGUGCUCCACAACGGGAGAGGCCACAACAGUGAGAGGCCCGCGUACCACAAAAAAAAAGAAAAGACUCUGACCAAAAUCAAAUGGGUUAGAGAAGAGAGGAAACAGGGGGUGAGUGGAUUUCACUUAGCUGUGUAAAGGAGGAAAGGCAGUGUGUGAGCCACGCGGUGCAGCGGACGUCAGCUCGAGCUGAAGGAUACUGAAGUUUCCCACUGGCCUCAGAAAGCCUCUUGAGAAACUUACUCUUCUGGUUUGGUGCAAGAUUUGUUUUAUUUUGUUUUCCCCUCAGCCAGAUAUUCGGAGUCUGUUUCACUCACCUGGAAAGUUGCAUCAUCUUGACAAGCACAAGGCAAUUAAGAGAUUCCCAGCUGCUCCUGUUGCUACUGUGUAUUCGCAGGCAGAGAGAGGGGACAAUUGGCCUCUCAGAAGUGCGUUUGCUGAGCAAUGAAGAAAAGGGAAACUGCUUUAAAACUAUAUCCAAGGAAAAUUGGGCUUCCCAGGUGGCGCAGUGGUUGAGAGUCCGCCUGCGGAUGCAGGGGACACGGGUUCGUGCCCUGGUCUGGGAAGAUCCCACAUGCCGCGGAGCGGCUGCGCCCCUGAGCCAUGGCCGCUGAGCCUGCGCGUCCGGAGCCUGUGCUCCGCAACGGGAGAGGCCACAACAGUGAGAGGCCCGCGUACCUCAAAAACUAUAUCCAAGGAAGUUUAAACAGUUUGAGAAAGUUUUCAUGAGACGUAUAGGAUUUGAAGAGCUAGAGAUUAUAUGUUGAUAGCCUAGAAUCUGAAGCUUGAACUUUAAUGAGAUUUCUCCCUUUCAGGAUUAUGGAUUGACUGUACCACCCAGGGAACAAACAGCUGACCUCAAAUCACAUGCCAAUAUAUUCACAAUUAAACAAUCAUUCAAGAAGCUAUAAAGCACACAAAAUGCAUAGUGGCUACAAAUAGUCAACAAAUGAAGCUUCUGUGUUUUCUUGCCUGAGAACAAGGGGCCUGUUCUUUUAGUAUUUAUAGCGAAUAGUGAGACUCUGUGGAAAAAAAUACAGCAGUUGGUAAAUGUUCUAAGGGAGGCAUAGCAAACGUCAGAGAAGCUGGGUGCUCCUGACUUCACCUGUGGUUGGCUAAGGAUGAAGGAUGAGGAGGUGGCCAGUGGGCCUCUAGAUUACCAAUUCAACACAGAAAGUGACCAUUCUGAAAUCUCAGCUUUUUCCUUCUUAAUUUUUUCCUUUCUGGAUUUUAAAACAGGAGAAGUAUUUAGUAAUGAGAAAGUGAUUUAUUGAGAGUUUUCCCACAUAUACUACUCAAAUGAGGUGGUGCUUUCUCCCCUAAAGAUGACGUCUCUGUUCCAGGACAGAUUACAAUUGAUAAAAAGUCUAGAAAGCCUUGCAAAAUUUGGAAGCAUUUGGAAAACGGGACAGUUUUCUGCACGGAUUCAGUCCUAGACAUUUGGCAUAGAAAGGGCAACAAAGCAAAGUGCCUGGUUUGGUUUCUUUUAAUUAGACCCUCACGUGGGUUUGGUUGGUUUUAGUUUCCCUUGCUUCUAGAGGGAGAGAGUUGUGCUAAUGCUUGCUAUUUGCACAUCCGAAGGGUGGAGGUGGUUUUUUGGCAACCUCUGCACUCACCAGUCCUGAAAUACCUUUUUAGCAUGGGGUCAGACAGCCACAUGUCCCUGAGGACCCCUUGCCAGUAUGCUACAGGGUGCAACCAAAUCCUGUAGUGUGAACUGGAAGGAUUGGUGGUGGCAAUGGUGUCUGAUGGUCUGUGAACUGAGUGUGGCAGGUCAGCCUGCCAGGCUCCAUUCCAACAAAUGCCCUUUAGAGAGCUGACCUUCUGUUUGCUGGGCCUUUCUUUACUAGAUACCAUGUGGAAUUCUGGUAAUAAUUCUGGAAAUAAUUGAAGGCGUUCACUUAUUCAGUAUGUCAGUCAGUCAGCAAAUCUUUCUUAGGCACCUAUGAUGUGUAACAUACUAAUAGAUGCAAAGAAUGCCACAAGAAUAGAAAGUUAGACCUGCGAGAGUAAUUUAUAAUUUACCAUGUUCAUCUAUGUUAUGUCAAAGAAGAUAAAACAGAGACGGUCCUUGCACUCGAAAAGUUUAUAAUCUAGUAGGGGAGAUGAAGCAUGUACAGAGUACAAUUUAGUGCAUGUCACAAGAAAAAUCAAGUUCCUGGCCAGGGAAUGAACAGAUACCCUGGAAUCACAAGCUAGUACUUUCACGUUUCAGAGAGUUUGAAAGGGGAGAGACCACAUCCAGGUUUGGGCCAGGGCUGUGUCUACACAGGACCUACAUGGUGGGAUUUGGAUGUGUAAGUGUGCAGCAUAGAGUGGCUAUACUUUUGUCGCCUUGAAAAUAUUUUAAAAUGUGCUCCCUUGGUUUUGAGGCUCGACAUCUUUUUCAGGGAACUGUGCAUACCAACCAUUGGGUUGCCUUUGCAGCACCUGUACUUUGAAAUUUAACAGCAUUUUUGGAGCCUAAAAGAUAAUCAGAUCAUGACUGACAAUUCACAUAGAGUUAAACUUAACGAUAGAAAGUCUAAGUCGCACACGUGGGCCAUUUUCUAAAGCCACACAAUUUAAGGGCUAAUGUUUUUUCAAGUUGUGGGGGAAUAAUUUGCAGACUUCCGUGGCUUAGAUCGUUAACUUGGUCCUAAAAUUUAUAACUCUUUAAUACAAUCUCACAAAGAUUCAUCACCCUGCCUAGGGAACAAGGCCUCUCCUGGCUGAAAGAUAGUUAUUCAGUAAACACUUUCUGUUUCAACUCUUUAUUCUGAAAAUUGUUCUGAUAUGGUGUCGAAAGAUUGUUUACUUUGACGAUGAAUGUUAAUUUUUUCUUAGGUGAUUCAAUAUCUUGUGGCCUCUCAGCUUUCUCAUUCUGAACGCCAGUUGCCAUUGAACAAGACUGUAGAUACAGAAAACAUAGUGUUUUAGAUGAAUGUGUACUGACACGGGAAGAUUCCUUUGAAAAAAAAGUUACAAAAUCCCCUCUGAUAAAAGUGUGUUUGUUGCUCUUCUUUCUUCUGAAAAGAGAAUAAAAUGAGAACAUUUGAAAAAUAAUAGCUCACUGGGGAUUCUGAUUAGUCUAUUUUACAUUUAUGACUUUACAUGUAAUCUACAGCAUUCCUCUGGUUUUCAUGACUCUCAUGUCGUAAUUGUGUCUAAGAAGCUAAAAACAUGCCUUACAAAGUGUUCCAUAUUCCUACACCAAGAAAAACGACAGGAUUUGCCAAGUUCUGAGCCUGACACAGCCUUCUUUCCCCAACUGAUAGAAACAAAAAUAUACUUCUUAAGAAUGCAUACAAUAAUCUGAAGUCUUAGUUUGAUUAAAUAAAAAAAUAUAAAUUAGUCAUAUUUAUUUCCAGAGGAUUUUCUUAGGCUUUUACAGUGCCCAAAUAAACUAUUACCACCUGAAGUCAAAAGCCAUGUAGAAUGAAUUUUGUUCCAAUGGUCCAAAACAUUUCUUUUAAUCUCUCAUGCACCCCUGUAAUGAGGCAAACAUGAAGAUGAGAAGCAAACUUGUCUACUGACAAAUAUAGAAAAUGUUUUGCGUACCGAAUGAGUGUGUCCAUGUUUUUGUUUCCAUCUGGAUCCUUUUCAGUGUGAUUACUUAUUUUUAGGUUGGCAUUUUAGAAGGAAGAUGAAAUGGCUUCAGGAAAUGAUGUGAAAGGUUAAGAAGAUGGAUGAGAAAUGUAAGUCCAGAGCUGUCACGAGGGAAAAUGUAGCCCCACGGUAUUAUGUUCAGUGUAUUUCUUAAUAAAACAAGCUAUCCAUAUUUCUGCUAAAUCCAUAUCCUUGAGCCCUGUAAACUUGAGUAGCUAUGCCAUAGUGUAAAGGAUUGUAAGAGAAAAUGUGGAAUUUGAAGUCACAUAAGUAUAGGGGGAGGCAGUAUAAGCAAAUAAUGAAGUGCAAACAGGCCCCAAACAGCCUGACCCUUUUGAAAACACAAAACCUUGGAAUCCAGGGGGAGAAGGUUGUAUGAACUAGAACAAGGGGACAAUUUGGUUAUAUGACAUUGAACCCAGACAAUCUACAAAAGCUGAAUUACAGAAUCUUCAUGAUAAUGUUGAGAAAAGAACCCUGAGAAUCUGAAUAAAUAUGAACUAUUUUCCUAACAUUUUGAGGAGUUCAAGAUAUUCUAGAAAGCUUCAUAUCCCGGUAACUCCUUUAUGAAAUAAGUCACAAUGAAGUCAUCAGUUCUGGCUGUGUCUGUAACUCUGUCAUCAGGUGGGCCCCAGGACAGAUGAGGGCAAGGAAUGCCCCCACCCCAGCCCCUGCUUAGACAUCCAUGCUUGUCUCUGAUUGUGUCAGUCCUGCGCCAUCUGACUCCUAAUUAUAGGUUCCCCUUGGGAUUCACUCCGGACUUCUGAACUGGGUUUGGAAUUCGUUCAUCUUUGGCUGAAUCUGAGCUCUCUGUCAAGACCUCAGUUCAUAUUCAUCCUUAAAGUCUUCCACUACAGACUGAUUCAGUGACUCUUUCAGACCCUCCCAUUCCCAGCCUGGCUCUAGCCUAUUUAGAUGCAGCCUCAUCUAUACAGGGCACCCUGACCCCUGAUGAAAGGGAAGUCCAUCAGGAGUUAUGAUUUUCACGUUCUAAGGAUGAGGAGGUCCACACAGUGGACCUUAUCCUUCCUUGUCCACACUCCUCCCCAUAUGUGGAAUGGGUCCUGUACACUGGUCUGUCAUUAACUAACACGACCUUUCUGAACUGACACAAAAGAGAAGAUGGUUCAAAUUCUACCGGAGGUCUCUUCCCUUUCCUUCCCUUUCUUUUUCCCUCCCUCCCUAUCUUCCUUCCUUCCAAAAGCCUUUUCUGGGCUUGUCCUAUGAGCCAAGCCCUGGACUAGGUGCUAGAAUCAUAAAGACACUGGCCCUGCCCUCUAUAAACUCACAUUCUUGUGCCUCCUGCUUUGAAGAAAUACGACCAAUCAAGACUACUUGUUCAUAGGCUUGUUCAACAUUUUGGGGGUUUUGUCUCUGUUUAAAAUGAGGAGGAAUAGGAAUUCCUUUGUUCUGUGUCUCAUACUGGCUGCUUAAUUAAAAGCAUUUAGGUAGAGCUUUGGGGGGCAAGUAUGUCUUAGAGAGCAUUCACCUUACCAGCCCAAACUGCCAUCUCCUGAAGAGGUUUUUUUUUAUUGUCCAUUAUGCGUGUUUGUAAACUUUUUAUUUUGAAAUCAUUAUAGAUCACAGGAAGUUGCAAAAAUAGCUCAUAGAGUUAUGAGCUAUUAACAUCUCCCAAUAGUGACAUCUUAUAUGACUUUGGUACAAUAUCAAAACCAAGAAAUUGACGUUAGGUAGACUACAGACCUCAUUCAGUUUUCACAUGCACUCAUCUGUUGUGUAUGAAUGUGUGUGUGUAUUUCUAUGCAAUUUGACCGCACAUAAAUUAUGUAACCACCAGAACAAUCAGGAUACAGAACAGUUCCAUCACCACAAAGGCGCUCCCUUAUGCAACCUCUUAGGGUCACACCUCCUUGACCCAUCCCUGGCCCUGGGCAACCACGAAUCUGCUCUGCAUCUCUAUAGUUUCGUAAUUUGAGGAUGAUUGUAAGUGGAAUCAUACAUUGUGUAACCUUUGCAGAUUGCCUUUCAUCACUAAGAUAAUAGACUUCAGAUCCUCCAAGCUGUUGCAUGUAUCAAUAAUUUGUUCCUUUUUAUUGCUGAGUAGUACGCCAUUGUAGGAAUGUACCAGAAUUUGUUUAGCCAUUCACCCAUUAAAGAAUAUUUGUAUUGUUUCCAGUUUUUUUUGUUUUUUUGUUUUUACUAAUAUGAAUAAAGCUUCUGUGAACACUCCUACA